rnacentral:tRNA from 2 species
GCUGGAAUAGCUCAGUUGGUUAGUGUGUGUGGCUCUAACCACAAGGUCAGAGGUUCAACCCUUCCUUUUAGCG